rnacentral:rRNA from 1 species
UACGAAGGGGGCUAGCGUUGCUCGGAAUUACUGGGCGUAAAGCGCACGUAGGCGGUCUUUUAAGUCGGGGGUGAAAUCCUGGAGCUCAACUCCAGAACUGCCUUUGAUACUGAAGAUCUUGAGUUCGGGAGAGGUGAGUGGAACUGCGAGUGUAGAGGUGAAAUUCGUAGAUAUUCGCAAGAACACCAGUGGCGAAGGCGGCUCACUGGCCCGAUACUGACGCUGAGGCACGAAAGCGUGGGGAGCA